UACGUAGGGGGCAAGCGUUGUCCGGAAUCAUUGGGCGUAAAGCGCGUGUAGGCGGCUCGGUAAGUCCGCUGUGAAAGUCCAGGGCUCAACCCUGGAAUGCCGGUGGAUACUGUCGGGCUCGAGUCCGGAAGAGGCGAGUGGAAUUCCUGGUGUAGCGGUGAAAUGCGCAGAUAUCAGGAGGAACACCGAUGGCGAAGGCAGCUCGCUGGGACGUGACUGACGCUGAGACGCGAAAGCGUGGGGAGCAAACAGG
rnacentral:rRNA from 1 species